rnacentral:lncRNA from 1 species
GGGUCCCUCUGAGGCAGCAGUCUUAAAAUUAUUACCUUGGACCCAUCAGGAAAAACUUGAAUUAGAAGCAAAUCCCGAGUUCCUGUCAUGGCACAGUGGAAACGAAUCUGACUAGGAACCAUGAGGUUGCAGGUUCCAUCCCUGGCCUUGCUCAGUGGGUUGAGGAUCUGGGGUUGCCGUGAGCUAUAGUGUAGGUUGCAGAUGUGGCUUGGAUCUGGCGUUGCUGUGGCUCUGGUGUAGGCCAGCGGCUGUAGCUCCGUUUAGACCCCUAGCCUGGGAACCUCCACAUGCCAUGGGUGUGGCCCUAGAAAGACAAAAUGACGAAAAGAAAAAAAGGAAGAAGAAGCAAAUCCAUGCAGAAUCAUUGACCAAGAGUACUGGCUUUAUGCGAUUUGGCAUGGCAGAUCAGCCUGGCAGACGUCUGCGUUACCAGGCAGGUGAUAGCCAAGUCACCUACAGGGAGGCAUAGAGCUUUCAACUUUACUAGCAUCGAAGACACUAAUGGGGCAAAGGCAGCCUUUUCUACCGCUCUAUUAAGUAUUGCUUCGAUAUGGUAAUUGUUCUUUUUUUAAUGUAGUGGAUUUACAGUCUUGCGUCAAUUUCUGCUGCUCAGCAUAGUGACCCGGUCACACAAAUUUGUACAUUCGUUUACUCCUACUGUCCGCCGUCAUGUCCUCCCCCGGGAGCCCGGAUGUGGUCCCCUGUGCUGUUGGGUAGGACCGCAUUGCGUAUCCAUUCUAAGUAUAAAUAGUUUGCAUUUGUCCAUCCCACUGCCCCGCCACCCCCUCGGCAACCACACGUCCGUUCUCCACGUCCGUGAGUCUGUUUCUGUUUUGUAAAUAGGGUCUGUUGUGCCAUAUUUUAGAUUCCACGUGUAGGUGAUACAUGGUAUUUGUCUUUCUCUUUCUGACUUACUUCACUUAGUAUGAGAGUCUCUAGUCGCAUGAUACUGUAAUUUCUCUCGUGAUGGAUCCAAUGAACCUAUUUUCUUUAGGGUGGUUGGUAUCAUUUGGGAACUCUCUAAGUAGUAAAUUCUUCUCACAUAUUCUGUGCAACUGAAUUCAUAAGUCGGAUGAUAGGCCUGGCAAAGCCUCCCUCAAUACCCUGCUUUAACAGGACUCUUCUAGUAUGUUCCCAGGAAGACCAUACCGGGUGAGAGGAGGAAGGGACGGAGGCCUGAACCCCGGGAACAGCAGCAUUUGGUAAGCCAUAUGGGAAAAGAAGGCUGAAGAAAGCUGAGACGAAGCAGAGAGCAGAAGGGUCAGGAGCGCGUCGUGUCGGGGAAGAGCGCCAAGGGAGGGGAGCCGAUCAAGGGAGAAGACGCGGUCGACAGCCGCAAGCGCAGCCAAGAUUUCCUGCAAGGUCAAGGUGAAAAAAUAUCCUUUGAAUUUGGCAGCGUGGAGGUCAUGGAUUCCCCAUGAGUGAUAAGAUGGGGAUCAGCGGAAGAUGUAGGCAGAAGCCACAGUGCCGUGAACUGAGCAAGUGAAGAUGAGAAAAUAGGAUAAGCAGGUGCAGAGCCCCCUUUUGGGAAAGUGGGCAGGAAGAAUAGACAGUGGCUGAAACGUGAUACAACGCUAAACCUUCUGAUUUUGUCUUUUUUUUUUUUUUUAAGAUGGUAGGGACUUGAACUUGGGUGUCCACUACAAAAAGGUACCAGUAGAGAAGCUGAAUUUGAAAGUCGAGGAAAACAGGGAGAGAUGGAGUGAGACCCUGGAGGUGAUGAGGGCAGGUCGGGUCAAGGGCUCCUGUAGAACUGGGCCCUGACCUCCAUGGGCUGAGGGCGAGGAUGGGGCGGGGGGUAAGGCUACAAGGUGCCAGCAGGCAAGCGGCUGAGGUAGUCGUGCCCAGGGAUCACCGCCUUUUCCGUCUUGAGCUGAGGAAGGGACGGAGGCUUGGCUGAAGAACAAGGAAAACCUCGCCAGAGAAGAAUCAUCCUGCCGUGAACUUGUUGCUGUUGCCUUUGCUCUUGUGAUCAGUGCAGCACCGUUUCCCUCUCUCGUUGGUAACCGCACAUCAGUUUUCCUUGAAGAGGGAAUUCCCUCCACGGCGCAGUGGGUUAAGGAUCCGGUGUUGCGGUGAGCUGUGGUGUAGGUCGAAGACUCGGCUCAGAUCCUGCGUUGCUGUGGCUCUGGUGUAGGCCGGCGGCUACAGCUCCGAUUUGACCCCUAGCCUGGGAACCUCCACAUGCCGCAGGAAUGGCCAAAGAAAUGGCAAAAAAGAAAAAAAAAAAAAAAAAGAAAAAGAAUCCAACUGCAGCAGCUCCCAUCCCUCCAGAGUUUGGGUUUGAUCCCCGGAGAAAAGGAUCUGGCAUUGCCGCAGCUGCAGCUAAGGUCGCAGCUGUGGCUCGGAUACAGUCCCUGGCAGGGGAACUUCCAUAUCCUAUGGGUGGAACCAUAAAAUUUAAAAAAAAAAAUAAAAAAAA